rnacentral:rRNA from 1 species
GAUGAACGCUAGCGGCAGGCUUAACACAUGCAAGUCGAGGGGUGUAGGUUUUCGGACCUAGAGAGCGGCGCACGGGUGCGUAACGCGUAUGCAAUCUACCUUUUACAGAGGGAUAGCCCAGAGAAAUUUGGAUUAAUACCUCAUAGUAUAGUACAACCGCAUGGUUGAACUAUUAAAGUCACAACGGUAAAAGAUGAGCAUGCGUCCCAUUAGCUUGUUGGUAAGGUAACGGCUUACCAAGGCGACGAUGGGUAGGGGUCCUGAGAGGGAGAUCCCCCACACUGGUACUGAGACACGGACCAGACUCCUACGGGAGGCAGCAGUGAGGAAUAUUGGUCAAUGGGCGCAAGCCUGAACCAGCCAUGCCGCGUGCAGGAUGACGGUCCUAUGGAUUGUAAACUGCUUUUGUACAGGAAGAAACAGUUCUACGCGUAGAACCUUGACGGUACUGUAAGAAUAAGGAUCGGCUAACUCCGUGCCAGCAGCCGCGGUAACAC